UGGGGAAUUUUGGACAAUGGGCGAAAGCCUGAUCCAGCAAUGCCGCGUGUGUGAAGAAGGCCUUCGGGUUGUAAAGCACUUUUGUCCGGAAAGAAAUCCUUGGCUCUAAUACAGUCGGGGGAUGACGGCACCGGAAGAAUAAGCACCGGCUAACUACGUGCCAGCAGCCGCGGUAAUACGUAGGGUGCAAGCGUUAAUCGGAAUUACUGGGCGUAAAGCGUGCGCAGGCGGUUUGCUAAGACCGAUGUGAAAUCCCCGGGCUCAACCUGGGAACUGCAUUGGUGACUGGCAGGCUAGAGUAUGGCAGAGGGGGGUAGAAUUCCACGUGUAGCAGUGAAAUGCGUAGAGAUGUGGAGGAAUACCGAUGGCGAAGGCAGCCCCCUGGGCCAAUACUGACGCUCAUGCACGAAAGCGUGGGGAGCAAACAGGAUUAGAUACCCUGGUAGUCCACGCCCUAAACGAUGUCAACUAGUUGUUGGGGAUUCAUUUCCUUAGUAACGUAGCUAACGCGUGAAGUUGACCGCCUGGGGAGUACGGUCGCAAGAUUAAAACUUAAAGGAAUUGACGGGGUCAUAGCUGUUUCCU
rnacentral:rRNA from 1 species